AUGCAGCCCAAAUCGGGCGGUAAAUUCCGUCCAAGGCUAAAUAUGGGCGAGAGACCGAUAGCAAACAAGUACCGCGAGGGAAAGAUGAAAAGGACUUUGAAAAGAGAGUCAAAGAGUGCUUGAAAUUGUCGGGAGGGAAGCGAAUGGGGGUCGGCGAUGCACCUCGGUCGAAUGUGGAACGGCCACAAGCCGGUUCGCCGAUCGACUCGGGGUGUGGAUCGAUGCGGAUUGUGGCGGCGGCCAAAGCCCAAGCUGUCGAUAUGCUUGUGGAGAUGUCGUCGCCUCGAUUGUGGCGAGCAGCACGCGCCUUCACGGCGUGCUUCGGCACCUGCGUGCUCUGGGCAUCGACCUGUGGGCUCCCCAUUCGGCC
rnacentral:rRNA from 1 species